rnacentral:rRNA from 1 species
UACGGAGGAUGCGAGCGUUAUCCGGAUUUAUUGGGUUUAAAGGGUGCGUAGGUGGUUGGUUAAGUCAGUGGUGAAAGUUUGUCGCUCAGCGAUAAAAUUGCCAUUGAAACUGGCUGACUUGAGUAUGUUUGGGUAGGCGGAAUGCGUAGUGUAGCGGUGAAAUGCAUAGAUAUUACGCAGAACUCCAAUUGCGAAGGCAGCUUACUAAACCAUAACUGACACUGAAGCACGAAAGCGUGGGUAUCAAACAGG